UACACACCGCCCGUCACACCACGAAAGUUUGUUGCAACCGAAGUCAGUGAUUCAACCCGCAAGGGGGAUAGCCGCCCAAGUUGUGACCAAUGAUUGGGGUG
rnacentral:rRNA from 1 species